AAGGGGAGGUUUUUGAGAAGCUCAAGGUGAGGCUUGGGCAUGUUUUCUUUUUCACAAAGACAAGUUGGUGUCACUGUGGCUUUCGCAUUUUGUGGUGUGAGGAGGUCAUGCUGAGGGCUAUUAUUACCCUCUUUUAACCAGAAGAAGAUGAGCUAGGGGACCAGGGCCAACACCCAGAGGAUAGCAGAGCAGAACUAUGAGAAGAAUCUGGUCCUCAAUGACAUUGUGGACCACUAAAUUAGCCAACCCUGGACCUGCCAUUCUUCGGGCUGCCCUCCUUGGAGAGAACCAUAGUGUUAAAGCCAGUUUUUGGUCAAGUCGUUUGUUAUUUACAACCAAAAAUCUAAACAUGAGAAAGCCAGUUCUGAUCAAAAGGCUGCCAGCGGUGCAAGGACACGAAGUGAGAGGAAGAUAGUGAGUCAAUGGGAGGACAAACAGCUUUUCCAGGGUCACACAGCUACUGAUUGAUGGCGGCUGGGAGUCAAAUCCAGGUCUGUCUGUUGCCAAAGCUUAGGAUCUUAACCACAAGACUUUGUUGCCUGGUGCCCUGUCUCUACCCUGUUAGACUGGCCAUAGCUUUUCUCCCUUCCCUCUGCCAACUCAUCCUUGCUCAAUCCUAUGAUGUUUUAUGGUCAUUGCUUCACUCCAUGGUUUCCACAGACUCCUCUAGUGUGCAUUUGUGGGAUUUUUUUUGUUUUUGGUUGUGUUCUUAACCAUUGAUAAAAAUGAGAAAAUUAGAGAUGAUCUUUAAGGUUUUUUCCAACUUGGACUCAGACACUCUGUAUUGUAGUUUAUCUUUUUGCUCACUUAAAAAUUUUCCCAC